ACUCCUACGGGAGGCAGCAGUGGGGAAUAUUGCACAAUGGGCGCAAGCCUGAUGCAGCAACGCCGCGUGAGUGAUGAAGGCCUUCGGGUCGUAAAGCUCUGUCCUCAAGGAAGAAUAAAUGACGGUACUUGAGGAGGAAGCCCCGGCUAACUACGUGCCAGCAGCCGCGGUAAUACGUAGGGGGCAAGCGUUAUCCGGAAUCACUGGGGCGUAAAGGGGUGCGUAGGCGGUUUUCAAGUCAGAAGUGAAAGGCUAUGGCUCAACCAUAGUAAGCUUUUGAAACUGUUAAACUUGAGUGCAGGAGAGGAAAGUGGAAUUCCUAGUGUAGAGGUGAAAUUCGUAGAUAUUAGGAGGAACACCAGUGGCGAAGGCGACUUUCUGGACUGUAACUGACGCUGAGGCACGAAAGCGUGGGGAGCGAACAGGAUUAGAUACCCUGGUAGCACAAG
rnacentral:rRNA from 1 species